AGUGAACGCUGGCGGUAGGCCUAACACAUGCAAGUCGAACGGCAGCACAGUAAGAGCUUGCUCUUACGGUUGGCGAGUGGCGGACGGGUGAGGCAUACAUCGGAAUCUACUUUUUCGUGGGGGAUUACGUAGGGAAACUUACGCUAAUACCUCAUACGACCUACGGGUGAAAGCAGGGGAUCUUCGGACCUUUCGCGAUUGAAUGAGCCGAUGUCGGAUUAGCUAGUUGGCGGGGUAAAGGCCCACCAAGGCGACGAUCCGUAGCUGGUCUGAGAGGAUGAUCAGCCACACUGGAACUGAGACACGGUCCAGACUCCUACGGGAGGCAGCAGUGGGGAAUAUUGGACAAUGGGCGCAAGCCUGAUCCAGCCAUACCGCGUGGGUGAAGAAGGCCUUCGGGUUGUAAAGCCGUUUUGUUGGGAAAGAAAAGCAGCAGGUUAAUACCCCGCUGUUCUGACGGUACCCAAAGAAUAAGCACCGGCUAACUUCGUG
rnacentral:rRNA from 1 species